rfam:Vibrio sp. AND4 1103602000589, whole genome shotgun sequence.
AAAUUGAAGAGUUUGAUCAUGGCUCAGAUUGAACGCUGGCGGCAGGCCUAACACAUGCAAGUCGAGCGGAAACGAGUUAUCUGAACCUUCGGGGAACGAUAGCGGCGUCGAGCGGCGGACGGGUGAGUAAUGCCUAGGAAAUUGCCUUGAUGUGGGGGAUAACCAUUGGAAACGAUGGCUAAUACCGCAUAAUGCCUUCGGGCCAAAGAGGGGGACCUUCGGGCCUCUCGCGUCAGGAUAUGCCUAGGUGGGAUUAGCUAGUUGGUGAGGUAAAGGCUCACCAAGGCGACGAUCCCUAGCUGGUCUGAGAGGAUGAUCAGCCACACUGGAACUGAGACACGGUCCAGACUCCUACGGGAGGCAGCAGUGGGGAAUAUUGCACAAUGGGCGCAAGCCUGAUGCAGCCAUGCCGCGUGUGUGAAGAAGGCCUUCGGGUUGUAAAGCACUUUCAGUCGUGAGGAAGGCGGUAUAGUUAAUAGCUGUAUUGUUUGACGUUAGCGACAGAAGAAGCACCGGCUAACUCCGUGCCAGCAGCCGCGGUAAUACGGAGGGUGCGAGCGUUAAUCGGAAUUACUGGGCGUAAAGCGCAUGCAGUGGUUUGUUAAGUCAGAUGUGAAAGCCCGGGGCUCAACCUCGGAAUAGCAUUUGAAACUGGCAGACUAGAGUACUGUAGAGGGGGGUAGAAUUUCAGGUGUAGCGGUGAAAUGCGUAGAGAUCUGAAGGAAUACCGGUGGCGAAGGCGGCCCCCUGGACAGAUACUGACACUCAGAUGCGAAAGCGUGGGGAGCAAACAGGAUUAGAUACCCUGGUAGUCCACGCCGUAAACGAUGUCUACUUGGAGGUUGUGGCCUUGAGCCGUGGCUUUCGGAGCUAACGCGUUAAGUAGACCGCCUGGGGAGUACGGUCGCAAGAUUAAAACUCAAAUGAAUUGACGGGGGCCCGCACAAGCGGUGGAGCAUGUGGUUUAAUUCGAUGCAACGCGAAGAACCUUACCUACUCUUGACAUCCAGAGAAGCCAGCGGAGACGCAGGUGUGCCUUCGGGAGCUCUGAGACAGGUGCUGCAUGGCUGUCGUCAGCUCGUGUUGUGAAAUGUUGGGUUAAGUCCCGCAACGAGCGCAACCCUUAUCCUUGUUUGCCAGCGAGUAAUGUCGGGAACUCCAGGGAGACUGCCGGUGAUAAACCGGAGGAAGGUGGGGACGACGUCAAGUCAUCAUGGCCCUUACGAGUAGGGCUACACACGUGCUACAAUGGCGCAUACAGAGGGCAGCCAACUUGCGAAAGUGAGCGAAUCCCAAAAAGUGCGUCGUAGUCCGGAUUGGAGUCUGCAACUCGACUCCAUGAAGUCGGAAUCGCUAGUAAUCGUGGAUCAGAAUGCCACGGUGAAUACGUUCCCGGGCCUUGUACACACCGCCCGUCACACCAUGGGAGUGGGCUGCAAAAGAAGUAGGUAGUUUAACCUUCGGGAGGACGCUUACCACUUUGUGGUUCAUGACUGGGGUGAAGUCGUAACAAGGUAGCGCUAGGGGAACCUGGCGCUGGAUCACCUCCUUA